rnacentral:tRNA from 1 species
CGGGGUGUAGCGUAGCCCGGUUCAGCGCGCAUGGUUUGGGACCAUGAGGUCGGUGGUUCAAAUCCACUCACCCCGA